rnacentral:rRNA from 1 species
GACGAACGCUGGCGGCGUGCUUAACACAUGCCAGUCGAACGGAAAGGCCCUGCGUUUGUGUGGUUCUCGAUAGGCGAACGGGUGAGUAACACGUGUGUAACCUCUCCCUGUCUGUGUGAGAACUUCAGGAAACUCGGGCUAAUACCGGAGAGAAUCUCCUGCUGCGUGUGGGGGGUAGGAAAGUUUCGGCUGUGGGGGCUGGUCUCGCAGGUUAUGAGCUGGAUUGUGGGGUAGGUGCUGACCAAGGUUUCGACGGGUAGGCGGCCUGGGAGAGUUGCCGGCGACAUUGGGCCUGAGAGAGGGCGCAGAAUCCUACGGGAGGCAGCAGUGGGGAGUAUUGCACAAUGGGCGGACGCGUGAUGCAGCAACGCCGCGUGCGGGAUAACGUCCUUCGGGUUGUAAACAGAUUUCGACUGUGACGAAGCGUGAGUGACGGUAAUGAGUAAAGAAGCACCGGCUAACUACGUG